UUGAACGCUGGCGGCAGGCCUAACACAUGCAAGUCGAACGGUAACAGGAAGCAGCUUGCUGCUUCGCUGACGAGUGGCGGACGGGUGAGUAAUGUCUGGGAAGCUGCCUGAUGGAGGGGGAUAACUACUGGAAACGGUAGCUAAUACCGCAUAAUGUCGCAAGACCAAAGAGGGGGACCUUCGGGCCUCUUGCCAUCGGAUGUGCCCAGAUGGGAUUAGCUUGUUGGUGGGGUAACGGCUCACCAAGGCGACGAUCCCUAGCUGGUCUGAGAGGAUGACCAGCCACACUGGAACUGAGACACGGUCCAGACUCCUACGGGAGGCAGCAGUGGGGAAUAUUGCACAAAGGGCGCAAGCCUGAUGCAGCCAUGCCGCGUGUAUGAAGAAGGCCUUCGGGUCGUAAAGUACUUUCAGCGGGGAGGAAGGGAGUAAAGUUAAUACCUUUGCUCAUUGACGUUACCCGCAGAAGAAGCACCGGCUAACUCCGUG
rnacentral:rRNA from 1 species